rnacentral:lncRNA from 1 species
CAGAGUUCUUAGAAACAUUUUCUGACUAACAACGCCCAUGAUAAUGUAGCCAUAUUCAAUGUUAGACCCAAAUAAGCAAUGGAAUGUCACGGCAACAAAAUCUUGGGCAAUACUAUUUUUAUAUCCAUGUAAUGUCGGGUUUCUCAUAUUUAAUUUCUGUCAGGGAUAUGGGCAGUGAAUCCGCCUCAUGGUGGUGGUUGCGGUCCGGUUUAUCGUUCUUGAUGAUGCAGGGGGGGUGGCUUGCGGGCACCUGCCGCCCAGCCAUGUAGCACUGUUAACGUUUUUUUUUUCUUUCUGGGAAAGCAGUGUUACAACUCACAGAUAGCAGCUAAAAUUUACUCCAGCAAAAACUGCAGCGGGCGGUGCUUUUCCCAAGAGCGGUUUCCGGCCAAUCAACACCUCAAUUGUAAGACUAACUUAUUGGAUCACCUUGUGGUUUGAAAUAGUUGAGCUUUGUCAGUGAUGGAGUUCACCACAAGCCCACAGUGAUCAGGUCUUUUUCAAGGCUGGUAGGUGGGCUGAACGGCUGACAUGGAGAACUUGGGUGGCAUUAGGAUGUUCAUUUGAGAAAUCUCUCCCUCUCUCUUUUUCCAGCGGCUAGAUUUUUGUGGAUCUUUUAAUUUUACGUACAUUUUUCUUAUUCAAAUCUAUC